AAAGACGGCACAGACCCUAGAAAUUAUAGACCGAUUGCGUUAAUCAAUGUAGACAUGAAGACAUACUCAGCUAUUAUUGCUGAGAGAAUUAAAAGCGUUAUAUCAAAACUUAUCCACCGGACCAAAUUGGGUUUAUCCCUGGCAGAUGGGCAUCAAAUAAUUCUCGUAGACUGAUUGAUAUCAUUGACUGGACCAAAAGACACAAUAUUCCCCUCCUGGCCCUGUGUUUAGACGCUGAAAAAGCGUUUGACAGGGUCGGGUGGGGAUAUUAAGUGAAGUUUUG